UAGAAACCAAACCAGGACUGAGCGUCUCUGCAGGGCCUUGCUGUAGCCCGUCAUUUUUUUCUCUUACCCAUGCCAGAGUCAGCUCAACCCUCUUUUGAACGGCAGGGGCAAAGUGGCUCAAGAGACAGCUACAUUCAUCAGGUGACUGGUGUGGACCAGCUAGCAGGUCCAUGCAGAACUCAUGACCAGGCAAGUUCAAGGCCAGCUCAGAAGCAAGGAAAAGAAGCAUCUGCCACUAGGUCCUCAGUUGGUGGCAUCGUUUGGGAAGGUGAUGAGACUUGGCAGAUGUGGGAUCUUGUAGAGGAAGUGUGUCACUGAGGGUAGCCUUUCGGAGUUUAUAGCCUUGUCCCACUUCCGGCUCCUUCUCUCUGCUUUCUCCGUGUGAUUGAAGAUGUAACCUUUCAGCUUCCUGCUCUGGCUGCCAGCUGCCAUGCCUACCCUGCUGUUACAGACGAUCCCUCUGGAACCAUAAUCCACAACAACCUCUUUCUUCUGUAAGGCCCCUUUGUUCAUGGUGUUUUAGCUCAGCAACAAAAAGUAACUAAUACAGUUGGUGGUGACUUUAUUUGGAGACAAGGCUCCAAACACAGAACUGGGGAGCUGCAGAAUAGGGGCUCGAGAUCAAGCCCAUCUAAUUCCAAGUCCAUACAUUCAAUUCGGACCCUUUCCUUAAGAUCAGAGCAGUACAUCCCCUUCCACAGCUUACCCUAGGUCUUCUCAGAAGCAGGAGACCAGUCUGAGUACAAGUGGCUUUAUUGGCAAGGUCAUUCUCUGCUUGGACUUCGAGCUGUCCCUAACUUUCCCAUCCAAUAGUGUUUCUGGCUGCAAAGAGCUGUUAUUACAACUUGUGGUAGUAAUUUCAAUGCUUGGGAGAUGAAGGCGAGAGGAUCACACUUCCAAUCUAGCCUGGGCUACAGAGCAAGACUUUGUUCCCAAAAUCAGCACCCCGCUUCACAUGUGUGCACAUGUGCACACAUUGCUCCUCUCCCAUUUGUGGUAGAGUUUAUUUUGGUAGUUGCAAAGAACCAUAUGGCCUAGUCUUUGUUCCCUGUGUAGGUUCCUCCCAUGCUGACUAGAGAAUCGCCCCAGAUUUGCUCAAGUAAAGGGGCUAUUAGUAAACUUAGGCAGGCAGAGGCUUAGUGAGGACUUGCUAGUGUAUCCUUUCUCUUGUAGCCCAAAUGCCACAUCGUCAGGAAGCCCAGACCAUCUCCCAAAUAACACAUUUUUUAUUUAUUAAUAAAAUAAAUAUCCAGAUGAGAACUAUCCAGAAAGUUUACAAGAAGCCUCAAGUGCAGGCCAUCUCUUGGCUCUUGGCAACUGGUGUGCGCUGGAAGACUCACCUCAUCCAGAGAUUGUGUUAGGGAGAAGACAUUUGGGAGGUUGCUUCAUAAGUUCCUUUAUUGAGUGUGGGCAAAAGUCAUUACUGAAUCACAGUGUCAUGCCUGGGCCAUGAGCUUUGUACCAGACAAUGUUUAUGUAGCAAAACUGUGGAGAAAAGGAGCUCAAUCACCAUAAAAAUAAGUGAAGUCACUAAAAUUUGUUCCCAUUCAAAUAAACAUCAUCACGUAAAUAAGUCCCCAAACUAAUGAAUGCUUCAAAUUCCAAUUUUCUUAAUAAAGUUGAAUUUUCCGCCAAU